GAACAUCCUGCAUAGUGCUGCCAGGAAAUCCCUAUUUCAUACUAAGAGGGGCUGGCUGGUUGCAUAUGUAGGAUGUCCC
rnacentral:pre_miRNA from 1 species